UAAGGGGGCCGGUGCUCCCCACGGAUUGCAAAUCCGUUGAAGGGUCUAAUACACUCUUGUUCGGUUCGACUCCGAACCCA
rnacentral:tRNA from 1 species